UAAUCUAGAGACAUAUCACUUGGUGCCACACGGAGCGAUCCUGUGUGCUGGGCCAACUGUCCAGCUACCCUUGGGAUUUUCAUUCAUAAAGGUGACUGGGUGAUGGUGUGGAGAAGCUAAUGCCGUUAAAUAACGUAUUACUUACACUUCCCAAGAGAAGGGGCACACCAGGCCACAGUGGCCACGGGGGAGCGGGGGAGCACCUGAUUUUUGUCAGGAGGCAGGAAGGAGGGGAAAGCUGAGCAAGACCCCUUAUCAGGAGAAAAACCCCUUCCCCUUUAAGUAUUUCAGUAUGACCCAAAGGCGGGGCAUAGUAAACCGUUUAGGAUCAGCCAGUGUGAAUAAUUCUGGGGGGCUUGGGACACAGGGGCCUGGCCAUGGGUUGACGUAAGGCAGGAAAGUAUAUUGGCUUGGGGUGUUAGGGUGAGAUAAUGGGCUCGCCCGUGGGAGGUAUGCCCAGAAUUAAGCUGUUUAGAAUCUUUAAGAAGCACCAGCCCUGGGAAGGGCCGUCUCGUCUCCCUGGCGUCUCUGAGCCUCCUCGAGAUGUCAAAACUGCCUAAAAUACAGAGUGUGAAAACCGUGAUGGAGACAACCACUCAGACCUGUAAAGGUGGAGUCUCAGGAACCACCUGCAGUCUCUCUUAGAUCACAUCUCAGUUUUCUCUGCGUCUGCGCUUUGUUUUUUCAGAAUGCUUUUCUCCACGUGGCUGGGGAACCCGGGUGCCAGCGGCUCUGGCUGAGGUGAGAAAACCACAGGGAGAGACUGGGAUGAGCUCGAGUCACAUUCCAGCCGUUGGACUCAGGACUCUGGGAUGAACAGCCCAGUCCCCUGACACACGUGGCUGGAUUUGGAGGAGGAGCAGCUACUCUCAAAGACGUGGAGAGCUGUUCCCAGCAGGGAGAGACUCGGGGGGUUAAAUGUCUGGCCCGGGAGACGGUGUGGAUCAGGUAGGUGAGGAGGUGUUCAGGAGAGCAUUCUAGAAUUCACCCGAGGCUGCAGUCAAACCAGUGGCUCCCUCUCUUUCCAAGGAUGAGGACCCUUUGAGGACAUCUGCGCUCUGGGGAGACCUUCCCCUCAAAGCACUCACACAUCUAACAAAGGUGCUUGAGGAAUCAUGUGACAGUGAGAGUGCCUGGUGGAAAAAGGUUGCCUGCCUCAUCGGUAAACAAAGGAUGUUGUGCCAUCAGACCGUCAGCCACUGUAGCCAUCCCCCUACUGUGCACCCUGAGGGGACUCAGGAUGGGGAGGGGGGGUAACAGGGCACUGGCCUUAGCUAGUUAAGAUGAAAGGAAUGAUUUCAAUCAGCCCAGACUCUUCCAUCUUACAUACAUAGAAAAGCAGUAAAUUCAUUAACUUGGGAUACAUGGUUUUAAUUUAUUUUUGUUUUUUAAAUUACAAUAAACUUGGAGUUCCCGUCGUGGCUCAGUGAUUAACAAAUCCGACGAGGAACCAUGAGGUUGCGGGUUCGAUCCCUGGCCUUGCUCAUGGGUUAAGGAUCCAGUGUUGCCGUGAACUGUGGUGUAGGUCGCAGAGUCGGCUCGGAUCCUGCGUUGCUGUGGCUCUGGCGUAGGCUGGCAGCUACAGCUCCAAUUAGACGCCCCAGCCUGGGAACCUCUAUAUGCCGCAGGAGCAGCCCUAGAAAAGGCAAAAGGACAAAAAUAAAUAAAUAAAAUUACAAUUUUUUUUUUUUUGGCUGCAUAAGCAGCAUAUGGGAGUUCCCAGGCCCUGGGUUGAAUCUGAGCAGACGCUGGGGCAAUGCUGGAUCCUUUAACCCACUGCACUGGGCUGGGGAUCUGAGCCACUGCAGUAGGAUUCUUAACCCUCAGUGGGAACUCCCUGGCUUUUAUUUAAUGGUGUUUUUUGUUUUUUUUUCUAUGAU
ensembl:lncRNA